GGCACUAACAAUGGAUACCCAGAAAGAUGUCCAAUCACCAAAGCCGCAGCCAAUGAUAUAUAUUUGUGGAGAGUGUCACACCGAAAAUGAGAUAAAAUCCAGGGAUCCAAUCAGAUGCAGAGAAUGUGGAUACAGAAUAAUGUACAAGAAAAGGACUAAAAGAUUGGUGGGUUUUGAUGCUCGAUGAAAUGGGGAGUUCAGGAGUGUCUUCAUUCAUACAUUUGCUUCAUUUAUGUUUCUCUUUAAUGUAUAGCAUUUUAACUUAGUUUACUUAAUGAUUACAACUGGGUAUAUCUAUGAUUUCACUUUAGAAAUGCAAUUUGUAUUUUAAUACUUUGUAUAAAGGAAAUUUUGAUUCAAAAAA